rfam:Pseudomonas syringae pv. pisi str. 1704B contig24.18, whole genome shotgun sequence.
AUUGGGCGACACGCACGCCUGCCCAUUACCGGGGCACGGUACAACGCCUAUCGCUUCUGCAUCCGGUGACGU